CCUUCGAUAGCUCAGUUGGAAGAGCGUGAGACUGUAAUUGGAUGUCAUGUGGUGCAUCUCAAGGUCACUGGUUCGAUCCCGGUUCGAAGGA
rnacentral:tRNA from 1 species